rnacentral:rRNA from 1 species
CCUACGGGUGGCAGCAGUGGGGGAUAUUGCACAAUGGGGGAAACUCUGAUGCAGCGACGCCGCGUGUGGGAAGACGGUCUUCUGGAUUGUAAACUACUGUCCCCAGGGACGAAAAUGACGGUACCUGGUGAGGAAGCUCCGGCUAACUACGUGCAAGCAGCCGCGGUAAUACGGAGGGAGCACGGGUUGUCCGGAAUUACUGGGUGUAAAGGGAGCGUAGGCGGGGAUGAAAGGGGCGGGUCAAAACUACGGGCUAAACCGGGAGUCGCACUCAAAACUGCAACUCUUGAGUGAAGGAGAGGCAGGCGGAAUUCCUAGUGUAGCGGUGAAAUGCGUAGAUAUUAGGAGGAACACCAGUGGCGAAGGCGGCCUGCUGGGCUUUUACUGACGCUGAGGCUCGAAAGUGUGGGGAGCGAACAGGAUUAGAUACCCUUGUAGUC